CCUACGGGAGGCAGCAGUGAGGAAUAUUGGUCAAUGGGCGUAAGCCUGAACCAGCCAAGUCGCGUGAGGGAUGAAGGUUCUAUGGAUCGUAAACCUCUUUUAUAAGGGAAUAAAGUGCGGGACGUGUCCCGUUUUGUAUGUACCUUAUGAAUAAGGAUCGGCUAACUCCGUGCCAGCAGCCGCGGUAAUACGGAGGAUGCGAGCGUUAUCCGGUUUUAUUGGGUUUAAAGGGUGUGUAGGCGGGUUAUCAAGUCAGCGGUAAAAGCGUGGAGCUCAACUCCAUCCAGCCGUUGAAACUGAUGAUUUGGAGUGGGCGAGAAGUAUGCGGAAUGCGGGGUGUAGCGGUGAAAUGCAUAGAUAUCACGCAGAACUCCGAUUGCGAAGGCAGCAUACCGGCGCCCGACUGACGCUGAAGCACGAAAGCGUGGGUAUCGAACAGGAUUAGAUACCCGAGUAGUC
rnacentral:rRNA from 1 species